rfam:Callithrix jacchus chromosome 22, whole genome shotgun sequence
GGGGUCACCUGUUUGGCCAGCUACGUCCCCACGGUGCAUGUCAGUGUGGAAGGUAGGCAGCCAGAGAGGUGACCCC